UACCAAGGCUAUCAAUGCAGUUUCUCAUUUGCUGUAGAC
rnacentral:snoRNA from 1 species